GGGGGCCAUCAUCCAAAGACACUACAUUUCACAUCUCACAACUUCAUUCACAAACACAAUUUCCUUGCCGUGACCUCCAUCCAUUCAUCUAGCCAUACUACAUCUCACCAAUCCAUACACUUUCAUCUCUUAGCCGUGCAAAUCCAUUCCAUCCAUAUAUCCAUACACAUCCUAGACACUUGUGCUACAACAAGGUGGUGAAAACAAAGGUCCUUGACGUUUCAAGCUUGGAACUUUGGAGCGUUUUAGGUGUACUUCGUUCUUGCUUUCAAUGUCUACUUUGUCCUUGACAUUUCAAGCUUGGAACUUUGGAGCGUUUUAGGUGUACUUCGUUCUUGCUUUCAAUGUCUACUUUGUUAUUUUCUAAUUUUGUUGCAAUUAUGAGUGGCUAAACCCCUAUUUAGUUAGGGGGAAGUUUGAAGCCAUGAACAUGCUUGAGAUUUGAAUUGAUUUCUUCCAAUUGUGAUUUGAUAAGUUGUGAUUGCAAUUCAAUUAUCUAUUUUAUUCAUAACUGAUUCUUGUAUGUUUAUUAAGGAUGCAUACUUAGUUUUCAUGCAUGAAUUAGAUGCU
rnacentral:sRNA from 1 species